rnacentral:rRNA from 1 species
CAGUAGCCACGGUAAUACGUAGGUGGCAAGCGUUGUCCGGAAUUAUUGGGCGUAAAGGGCUCGCAGGCGGUUUCUUAAGUCUGAUGUGAAAGCCCCCGGCUCAACCGGGGAGGGUCAUUGGAAACUGGGAAACUUGAGUGCAGAAGAGGAGAGUGGAAUUCCACGUGUAGCGGUGAAAUGCGUAGAGAUGUGGAGGAACACCAGUGGCGAAGGCGACUCUCUGGUCUGUAACUGACGCUGAGGAGCGAAAGCGUGGGGAGCGAACAGGAUUAGAUACCCCUGUAGUCCCUGUCUCUUAUAC